rnacentral:rRNA from 1 species
GAUGAACGCUGGCGGCGUGCCUAACACAUGCAAGUCGAACGGGAGGGCGGACGGGUGAGUAACACGUGGGCAACCUGGCUCAUAGAGGGGGAUAACAGAGAGAAAUUUCUGCUAAUACCGCAUACUAUGAGAUGGACCCGCGUCUGAUUAGCCAGUUGGCAGGGUAAGAGCAUACCCAAGCGACGAUCAGUAGCCGAUCUUAGUGGAUGAACGGCACCCUUGGGACUGGGACACGGCCCAAACGCCUACGGGUGGCAGCAGUGGUGGAGAUUGAACAAUGGGGGGAGCCUUGCUGCAGUGACGUUGCGUGAGUGAAGAAGUAUUUCGGUAUGUAAAGCUCUAUAAGCAGGGAAGCAGUACCUGAAUAAGAAGCCCCGGCUAACUACGUGCUAGCCGCCGCGGUAAUAC